GAUGAACGCUGGCGGCGUGCCUAAUACAUGCAAGUCGAGCGAACGGACGAGAAGCUUGUUUCUCUGAUGUUAGCGGCGGACGGGUGAGUAACACGUGGAUAACCUACCUAUAAGACUGGGAUAACUUCGGGAAACCGGAGCUAAUACCUGAUAAUAUUUUGAACCGCAUGGUUUAAUAGUGAAAUACGGUCUUGCCGUCACUUAUAGAUGGAUCCGCGCUGCAUUAGCUAGUUGGUAAGGCAAACGCUUAUCAAGGCAACGAUGCAUAGCCCACCUCACAGGAUGAUCGCCCCCCACAGAUGUGGGACACCGUCCAGACUCCUACGGGAGGCAGCAGCAUGUAAUCUUCCGCAAUAGGCGAAAGACUGCCCGACCAGCCCCGCGUGAGUGAUGAAGGUCUUCGGUUCGUAAUACUCUGUUAUUAGGGAAUAACACAUGUGUAAGUAAACGAGCCCUUCUUGACGGUACCUAAUCAAAAAGCCCCGGCUAACUCCGUG
rnacentral:rRNA from 1 species